CAGAGGCCAUUUUCAGAGUGGCUAAAGGGCAAUAUUUGAUUCUGGCCAGUCAGAGUGUCACAUGUACCUGUUGGUCAUUUGGCUAAUGACUGGGCACUUGGGUCAAGACAAGUGCCCACGAGUGACCACCCAUCAGGUAGGACAGAUUGAAGUGAAUAGAGAGCCCAGAAUGAUCCACAAGGUGCUGAGACUUAGACCACAGCAGUCCAACAGCAAACUCAUGCACCCUGUCCCCGGCAUACUGCGCCGUCCUCCAGGGAGGAGCCUCCUGUGCACGGAAGGAAAAUGUAGGAGGUAAAAGCUUUUGGAUUUGGAGCACUUGGAAAAGAGCCAGGGUAAUGAACGUGGAGCAGAAAUAUCCACGCUCAACCAGGACAAACUACAGAUGGAUGCGUUUCCCGGCGUUGUCUCCCGGCCACCACUCUCUGGGUCCAGACACUCUGAGCAGGGCCCUGGCAGGCACGUUUUUUGGAGGCUGCUCAACAACGGAAAAGAAGCUUGGAGGCUUAAGCCUGGAUGCUCAGGCAGGCUGGUGAUUGGCUUUUCAAAAGCCUUAUUUAUAUUAAAGGACAAGAAAAUAAAAUGAGAAAGACAUCAUGUUGACGACUGUGACAAGGUUCUAAUAUUUA